rnacentral:rRNA from 1 species
GAAAAAACCAAAAUUGAAAAACUAGGGGGGAGGGCAUCUUUUUCAGUAUCCCUGGAGUGGCAGUUUUUAAGAUGGAUGACUACCCAUAUCAACAGAAUGGCGAGGUGCAGCAAGAACCGACGCGGCGGCCAGGAACAAAGAUGUGGGUUUACAAGUCCGUAGGCGACCAAGAAAUAAGCAGGUUCAGUCUGGGCAAAGGCAUGGGACAACAAACGCAUAGGGAAAGUCACAAAAGCUGACAAAAAACCAGAGGGUGGAUACGGCAAGCUUCCCAAGAAAGGUGCAAGACAAUAGUCAAGAAACAAUUCAAGAGCCAGCAACUUUAUCUAGCAUCAUGGUUGUACAGGAGGCAAGAACAGGGAGAUCAGAUUUGGGGCAAAGAUUCAAGUCAGGCUUGCAACAUUUUUUGGCUACAUGGAGGCAAAUCUGCAAGUAGUAUAGCAAUG